rnacentral:lncRNA from 1 species
AUUUGUUAUGUUGUGUUCGAUACUGAGAGUCACACUUGGACACAUUGGCAAACCAGAACGCCUCCGCAGGAAGGAGAAGGAAGAUUAAAAAAGAGGAAGAGAAAGAAAAGAAAACUACACUAGGUUCUCAUCUUAACCUGGGAGUCACCUCUGUCUUCCUGGCAUCCGCACAAUCAGUAGGACCCAGCAAUCUCCCGCAGGACAUUUUCUAAAGUGCCCAGAGAGAAGGUCCUCCUAGAAAGCAGAAGGCUUUCCCCCACCUUCCACCAUGCCCACUGUCACGAGGAUUUGCUGGGGCAAGUGUUUACUCAUCUGGUAGGGGAAUCCACUCCUUUCUGCACAGGUGCAGAGCUUGCCAAAUGCCGCGGGGCUUCCCUCUUUGCUAAAAGGCCAGAAUUCCCUAAAUCUCACUCCAGGCUCCAACAUUAUAUCUAUCACUUUUCUUUUUUUUUUUUUCCAAUAUAGGGGAAAAGGGACCUUUCCUUUCACCCUCUGACAUUUGAUAAUUUGAGUCUAUGCAAUAAAUUUGACAGUAGACAGAUUAACAGGAAAAAAGGCAUACAAAUUAAUACAUGCAUAUACAAGGGGGUCCCACAGAGUAAAACACUCAAAGAAGGGCCAGAUGGUUGAAACUUUUUUUCUUCUUGAGAUGGAGUCUUGCUCUGUCACCCAGGCUGGGGUGCAGUGGCAUGAUCUCAGCUCACUGCAACCUUCAUCUCCCAGGUUCAAGCAAUACUCCUGCCUCAGCCUCCUGAGUAGCUGGGAUUACAGGUGCAGGCUACCACACACAGCUAAUUUUUGUAUUUUUAGUAGAGAUGGGGUUUCACUAUGUUGGCCAGGCUGGUCUUGAACACCUGACCUCAGGCGAUCCACCCUCCUCGGCCUCCCAAAGUGCUGGAAUUACAGACGUGAGCCACUGCACCCAGCCUGGUUGAAACUUAAAUCUGCAUUUGAACUACAGAAAGAAAUAGGGGCUGGGGCUUUUGGAAGGGAGGUGGUGACUCAAGCAAUGGAAGGGUAAGGGGUGACUCAAGCAAUGGAAGGGUAAGGGGAAGAACCACACUGUGAAAAACGGUUGUUUUGUGAUGCAGAUAAAGUCUCUAGGAUAGCAACCUUCAGAAGAAUAGGUAAAAAGUCCAUCUCGGUUUGGAGACUUUUAGUUUCUUUUCCUGCUGGUUAAUCUCUGGUUAAUGUGGAUUUCAGGGAGAGGGAUCCACACAAUUAUGUUCCUUCUGGAAGAACUUCCCUCCCUGCAUUUCAGGAGAUACAGAGAUGGAGAGACAGGGAGAUGAGGGAAGAUCAAAGAGACCUUGGUUCUGAAGCUGAUUUUUUCUUUUUUUUUUUUUGAGACGGAGUCUUGCUCUGUCGCCCAGGCUGGAGUGCAGUAGUGCGGUCUCGGCUCACUGAAACCUCCACCUCCUGGGUUCACGCCAUUCUCCUGCCUCAGCCUCCUGAGUAGCUGAACUACAGGCACCUGC